UAUCUCCUGCAGCGUUCGAGGGUGUGCUGGGUGUUCCUGAACCUGUUUUUACCCCGGGGGCGGAUACCGGUAUUGGUGUGCAUGCCCGUUUUAUACGGGAAGCCUGAUUUACUCGCUACGUCCCCACUUGAACCUUCGGUUCAAGGACGAUGGCACAUUACGGCGCAGGCGGGAGAUGC
rnacentral:other from 1 species